CCGAGUACCGGGUCUCCGGACCCAUGCUCCCACCCUUUGUGUACCUACCGAUUGUUCGUUGCCUUGGCGGGGUCGAUCCCCGGGGUCCAUGCUGGCCCUGCGGGGGACCCGCCAGGGGGACACAUCCAAAAACUCCUGCUGAACAGUGACGUCUGAGAAAGCAAACAAAUGAAUUA
rnacentral:misc_RNA from 1 species